GGCUGUGGACUCUCAAGACACUUGGUUCCUCAUAUGGCCUCCAGAGGGCGCUGCUGCACUUACUACUGUUCCUUCUUCCUUUGUAGAUCUCCACCUGCUCACCUCAUCCUUCCUGCAGCUGGCUGAGAAUUUAGCAAAGGAAAGUGACAAGAAUCGGGUAUUCGAAACUUGUUUCAGGUUCCUGUUUGCAGCAUCGGUUUUUAUCUGUGUAGGAGACUUCUCCGGCAGACUCUUCCUGCUUUCAAGCUCUUGUUUCCUCUGGUACUUUCCAGUUGGUCUGUUUCAGAGUUCCUCCACAACAGUGCUGCAGCCUUCCCAAGGCUCAGCCAUGCUCCUGGCGCUCAUCCUAGUGCUGGGGAUAAACUUUCUCCUAAGAGUUGCCCAAGCUCAGUCAGUGACUCAACCUGACGCUCAUGUCACUGUCUCUGAAGAAGCCUCUCUACAGUUGAAAUGCAAGUAUUCCACACCUGGGGCACCUUCCCUGUUCUGGUAUGUCCAGUACCCACAGCAGGGGCUGCAGCUGCUCCUCAAGUACUAUUCAGGAGACCCAGUGGUUCAAGGAUUGAAUGACUUUGAGGCUGAAUUCAACAAGAGUGACUCUUCCUUCCACCUGCGGAAAGCCUCUGUGCACUGGAGCGACUCGGCUGUGUACUUCUGUGCUCUGAGCUUACAGUGUCUGAGUCUGUAAGGGGAGCUGAACACAAACACCCAUGGCUGUGGGUGCUCAGACACAAGAUCUCUCCUUGUUGUCUCUGAAGCGUCUCUUUCAACUUGGCGAGGAGGAAAGGGGUGUCAGGCAGUCCCAGCUGCCAUUGCACAACUCAUUUCCAGUUAAAAUAUCCACUGUCUGACUUCAUCUAAGAAGCUCUUUGCAUAUUUUCAAAAUUAUAUAAUGCUCAAUCAUAAUUCUUUAGAAUGGAGGAGACUGUCAUUUUUCCUUGAGAACCAUUUCCUGAGUGGGCAUUGCUUGGACAGUGACUGCGCUAAGCAGCUGGUUGUGCUCAUGAGGAAAGACAGAAGCUUUCAUUUGUCAUUUUGUGUUUUGUCUACACAGGAAGUGGAAGGUGUGCUCUUCAGCUUCUAUCCUGAAGUUUGCCUUCACUCCUAUCUUUCAUGUCAAUUUUCCUGUAAAUUCUUCUUUUCGUGCUAAUUAAACCGAUCAGAAUUUGUCACGAUAUUUAAGUACUCCCAUAUAGGAAAGAACUUGAUGCAUUUUUAGUUGAUAUAGAAGUUUAUCAAAAACAGAAAAGCUUAGUGAUCUGUCAUAAUUUUGUCAGGAACCAUUAAAAACAAAACAGGAGUAUAAGGAAUUGGAGCUCAUUGGUAUUUUUUCUAAAGACUUCUUCACAGUUAUGAAUGUACUAUUAUAAAUGUACUAUUCUAUUGUUGUUGCCAUCUUAAAUUCUUCAAAUCUACUUUGAGAAUUUGUAGUAUGAGUCCUUCUGCAUCUUUUGUUGGUAUGCAUUGCUUCCUCCUUUCCAUGAUUUUACUACGGUAAUAAUAAACAUAGAUUCUCUUUUUUUUUUUUUGGAAAGUUUUGUAUUUGUUUUUAAUUUUUUUAGUUAAAAUUACAGUAGAUUAUGAAGUAAUGGGUUUUAUCAUGGCGAGUUUAUACAUAAAAUAUUCAUGAGGGGCUGGGGAUUUAGCUCAGUGGUAGAGCGCUUACCUAGGAAGCGCAAGGCCCUGGGUUCGGUCCCCAGCUCCGGAAAAAAAGAACCAAAAAAAAAUAUUCAUGAAAUACAUGAUAUAUAAUUAUAUAUAAUAUAUAUAUAAAUGUAUAAUAAAUAUGUAUAAAAUUAUACUUGAUUUUCAUUGAUUUUCCUUCUCUACCAUGUUUCCUCUCCCUUCCAACUGCUUCAGUUUCUUAUCAUCAUUAUUCCUAGUCUGUUUCCUUUUGUUUUUAUGAGACAGGGUCUCUCUACUUAGAGCUGUUCUUCCUGGAAUUCACUUUGCAGUCUAGGCUGGCCUCAAACUCACAGAGAUCUGCCUACCUUUGCCUCCUGAGUUCUGGGAUUAAAGUUGUUAACCAUACAACCUGGCUAUCUGUUGUUUCUUUCUUCUUUCUUUCUUUUUUUGAGAUAGAGUUUUGCUGUGUAGUCCUGGCUGUCCUGGAACUUGUUCUGUAGAUCAGGUUGACCUCUAACUGCCGGCCUCUGCCUCCCAAGCGCUGGGGUCAAAGAUGUGCGCCACACUGCCUGUCUAUCUCUCCUUCCUUCCUUCCUUCCUUCCUUCCUUCC